UACGUAGGUGGCAAGCGUUGUCCGGAUUUACUGGGCGUAAAGAGCGCGCAGGCGGUCGUCCAAGUCGCGUGUGAAAGCCCCUGGCUCAACUAGGGAGAGUCAUUCGAUACUGUUCGACUCGAAGGCAGGAGAGGGAAGUGGAAUUCCGGGUGUAGUGGUGAAAUGCGUAGAUAUCCGGAGGAACACCAGUGGCGAAGGCGACUUUCUGGCCUGUUCUUGACGCUGAGGCGCGAAAGCUAGGGGAGCAAACGGG
rnacentral:rRNA from 1 species